rnacentral:tRNA from 1 species
GGGCGGUUAGCUCAGUGGUAGAGCGCCUCAUUUGCAAUGAGGAGGCCGGGGGUUCAAACCCCCCAUCGUCCA